rnacentral:rRNA from 1 species
UACGUAGGGGGCUAGCGUUGUCCGGAAUCAUUGGGCGUAAAGCGCGUGUAGGCGGUCCGGUAAGUCCGCUGUGAAAGUCGGGGGCUCAACCCUCGGAUGCCGGUGGAUACUGUCGGGCUUGAGUACGGAAGAGGCGAGUGGAAUUCCUGGUGUAGCGGUGAAAUGCGCAGAUAUCAGGAGGAACACCAAUUGCGAAGGCAGGUCUCUGGGCCACUACUGACGCUGAGAAGCGAAAGCAUGGGGAGCGAACAGG